UACGUAGGGGGCAAGCGUUGUCCGGAAUCAUUGGGCGUAAAGAGCGCGUAGGCGGCCCGGUAAGUCCGCUGUGAAAGUCAAGGGCUCAACCCUUGAAUGCCGGUGGAUACUGUCGGGCUAGAGUCCGGAAGAGGCGAGUGGAAUUCCUGGUGUAGCGGUGAAAUGCGCAGAUAUCAGGAGGAACACCCGUAGCGAAGGCGGCACUCUGGGCCGCAACUGACACUCAUGGACGAAAGCUAGGGGAGCGAAAGGG
rnacentral:rRNA from 1 species